rnacentral:rRNA from 1 species
AGGAAAAGAAACCAACAGGGAUUGCCCCAGUAACGGCGAGUGAAGCGGCAACAGCUCAGAUUUGAAAUCUGGCCCUCAGGGGCCCGAGUUGUAAUUUGCAGAGGAUGCUUUUGGCGAGGUGCCUUCCGAGUUCCCUGGAACGGGACGCCAUAGAGGGUGAGAGCCCCGUCUGGUUGGACACCGAGCCUCUGUAAAGCUCCUUCGACGAGUCGAGUAGUUUGGGAAUGCUGCUCUAAAUGGGAGGUAUAUGUCUUCUAAAGCUAAAUACCGGCCAGAGACCGAUAGCGCACAAGUAGAGUGAUCGAAAGAUGAAAAGCACUUUGAAAAGAGGGUUAAACAGUACGUGAAAUUGUUGAAAGGGAAGCGCUUACGACCAGACUUGGACCCGGCGAAUCAUCCAGCGUUCUCGCCGGUGCACUUCGCCGGGCUCCAGGCCAGCAUCAGUUCGCGCCGGGGGACAAAGGCUCGGGGAAUGUAGCUCCUCCGGGAGUGUUAUAGCCCCUUGCGCAAUGCCCUGGGGCGGACUGAGGUUCGCGCAUCUCGCAAGGAUGCUGGCGUAAUGGUCGUCAGCGACC